GAGGUUGUGGCUCAGUGGUAGAGCGCUCGCCUCGCACAUGAGAGACCGAGUUCGAUCCUCAGCACCACA
rnacentral:tRNA from 1 species